rnacentral:rRNA from 1 species
UGGGGAAUAUUGCACAAUGGACGGAAGUCUGAUGCAGCAACGCCGCGUGCGGGAUGACGGCCUUCGGGUUGUAAACCGCUUUUUCUCAUGACAAAGUAUUUUGACGGUAGUGGGGGAAGAAGCACCGGCUAACUACGUGCCAGCAGCCGCGGUGAUACGUAGGGUGCGAGCGUUGUCCGGAAUUAUUGGGCGUAAAGAGCUUGUAGGCGGUUUGUCGCGUCGAUAGUGCAAACUCAGUGCUUAACGCUGAGCCUGCUGUUGAUACGGGCAGAAGAGAGGAAGGUAGGGGAGAAUGGAAUUCCCGGUGGAGCGGUGGAAUGCGCAGAUAUCGGGGGGAACACCGGUGGCGAAGGCGGUUCUCUGGGCCUUUCCUGACGCUGAGAAGCGAAAGCGUGGGGAGCGAACAGG